rnacentral:rRNA from 1 species
GACGAACGCUGGCGGCGUGCUUAACACAUGCAAGUCGAACGGAAAGGCCCUGCUUUUGUGGGGUGCUCGAGUGGCGAACGUGUGAGUAACACGUGAGUAACCUGCCCUUGACUUUGGGAUAACUUCAUGAAACUGGGGCUCAUACCGGAUAGGAGCUCCUGCUGCAUGGUGGGGGUUGGAAAGUUUCGGCGGUUGGGGAUGGACUCGCGGCUUAUCAGCUUGUUGGUGGGGUAGUUGCUUACCAAGGCUUUGACGGGUAGCCGGCCUGAGAGGGUGACCGGCCACAUUGGGAAUGAGAUACGGCCCAGACUCCUACGGGAGGCAGCAGUGGGGAAUAUUGAACAAUGGGCGGAAGCCUGAUGCAGCAACGUCGCGUGCGGGAUGACGGCCUUCGGGUUGUAAACCGCUUUCGCCUGUGACGAAGCGUGAGUGACGGUAAUGGGUAAAGAAGCACCGGCUAACUACGUG